rnacentral:rRNA from 1 species
GAUCUGCAGCAGUGAGGAAUAUUGGACAAUGGGGGCAACCCUGAUCCAGCCAUGCCGCGUGAGUGAUGACGGCCUUAGGGUUGUAAAGCUCUUUCGCUAGGGAGGAUAAUGACGGUACCUAGUAAAGAAGCCCCGGCUAACUUCGUGCCAGCAGCCGCGGUAAUACGAAGGGGGCUAGCGUUGUUCGGAAUCACUGGGCGUAAAGCGCGCGUAGGCGGACUUUUAAGUCAGGGGUGAAAUCCCGGGGCUCAACCUCGGAACUGCCUUUGAUACUGGAAGUCUUGAGUUCGAGAGAGGUGAGUGGAAUACCGAGUGUAGAGGUGAAAUUCGUAGAUAUUUCGGUGGAACACCAGUGGCGAAGGCGGCA